CCUACGGGAGGCAGCAGUGGGGAAUAUUGGACAAUGGGGGCAACCCUGAUCCAGCCAUGCCGCGUGUGUGAAGAAGGCCCUCGGGUUGUAAAGCACUUUCAGUGAGGAAGAACGCCUGGUGGUUAAUACCCAUCAGGAAAGACAUCACUCACAGAAGAAGCACCGGCUAACUCCGUGCCAGCAGCCGCGGUAAUACGGAGGGUGCGAGCGUUAAUCGGAAUUACUGGGCGUAAAGCGCGCGUAGGUGGCUUGAUAAGCCGGUUGUGAAAGCCCCGGGCUCAACCUGGGAACGGCAUCCGGAACUGUCAAGCUAGAGUGCAGGAGAGGAAGGUAGAAUUCCCGGUGUAGCGGUGAAAUGCGUAGAGAUCGGGAGGAAUACCAGUGGCGAAGGCGGCCUUCUGGACUGACACUGCCACUGAGGUGCGAAAGCGUGGGUAGCAAACAGGAUUAGAUACCCCUGUAGUC
rnacentral:rRNA from 1 species